UUGAUCUGCACGUACGCAAUGCUUUGUUGAAUUAUACAGUGCAUAGUGCAUUGUAAACGAUACAGUGUCGUAGGGAGCACCCUCUUAUCUCUAAAUCAUAAUUAUACGUUUAGUAGACUUCCCUUUGAUCUUUAUUAUGCAUACCAUUGCAUAAAUGCUUCUGAGAUUGAAUGAGAGCAGCUACUGCAAAAGCUAACUGGGCCGAGUUUCCAUGGCAAUGUCUAAUCAACCUCUCAAUACUAUACACAGUGGAUUCUCCGUCCCUAAAUCACAUGACCACCAUUGUACAGAGUUAAAAAGAGAACGUGAAAUCACUGCUGCAAAAACAUAAUAUGUUUAGGAACCUGGUCAAACAACGACUACUACAAGCAGGUACAGGGAAUUGCUCAUGGAGCCAAACUGUCAACUAUAUGCUAUGUGGACGUACAUUCACUCGUAAGCCCCCCAGUGUGGACGCGGCCCGCAACUUUGUCGAGUUCCCCACUUUAUAAGAUAUUCGCUCUGCAUGACUGUGGGAGAUGUGGACACUCACUAUACUUCAGGCUCAGAUAUUCCGUCCUUUCAAGUUUAAAACUCUGUGAUAAAGAUCACUGUGGAGCCAGCAAAUCCAUUGGAAUUUCCCAAGGAACAAACUGAUCCUCCGGAGAAGGGACUGGUCGAGGACAUUGAAGGGGAGGUGGUGCAGAUAGCUAAGAAGAUUGGAGGUUCUUCCAGAUAAAGUUCGAUUGGGACCUGUUGGGAGCUCGCUUCAUCUGGGUACCGGACCCAACAUUCUGUUGGAUGACACUCUGCCUUCUGAGGUGGUUAGCUUACAAUGUAUAGCUGCAAGAGACUUCUCUCACAGUAAAAACACUUGGAAGGCCUGCAAUUCCCAAGCAGAUUGUCCCCGGAGACCCACUGGGCAAGAGCAUAGUAAUUCGUCCCCCUGGAGCCACAGCCUGUCCCCCACCUCGCCAGGGAGUUCAUGAUCAAAACGAGAUUCACGACUGUGAGAGGGCACUAGACUACUUGUGGGGAGAGGUGCCUAGGAGAGAGGUCAGUUCGGAGAUGUGGUUAGAACACAAGAUCCUGAGAUAUCAUUUCCCAGUCUCAAUGAAUAAAUUAUACCCUAAAAUGAAGGUUGUUUAGUUAAUGAUCGUUAUCCACUUCCCGACACAGAUGCUCAAGCAGACUCA